rnacentral:lncRNA from 1 species
GCAGAUGAUUCACCCUCGUUGGCUGCUAAGCAAGUGGAAGUACAUGUCCGUAAUAAGGUGAGUCUGAAAACUUUUCUCGUCGGCAUAGGUUACUGAAGUGCUCAUCUAUAUUGCUUAUUAUCAUAAUAUGCACACUGGGUUUGUUGGGAAGGGAGGUGGCACCAUUUAGACUCUAGAAUCCAAGUAUAGGGCACACAUCCAGGUUAUGAUGCUAUGAUGAUUGUUCUUCUAUUCCACUGGUUAGAUGUGAACGGGGAAGUUCUUUUUUCGUAUAGGUAACCCACCAUGAUAUCCCUGAAGGUGAGAUUUCAAAAAGAUCAUAUGUAGGACUUCCGAAAGAAAGCAAAUAAAAGUCGAAAGAUCAAUGACUAUGGAGAUCAGCAAUCAGGUGCCUGUAAUACUUGAUCAUUAUCUGUACAUUCUAGCUGUAUUGUUCUUCUAUUCCACUGGUUAGAUGUGAACGGGGAAGUUUUUUUUUUGUACAGGUAACCAAGCAUGAUAUCCCCGAAGGUGAGAUUUCAAAAAGAUCAUAUGUAGGAC